AACCUCCGCAAUGUGAGAAAUCGCGACGGGGGGAUCCCAAGUGCCAUUCUUAACGGGAUGGCUUUUCAUUAGUGUAAAGAGCUUUUGGAAUAAGGGCUGGGCAAGACCGGUGCCAGCCGCCGCGGUAACACCGGCAGCUCUAGUGGUAGCAGUUUUUAUUGGGCCUAAAGCGUCCGUAGCCGGUUUAAUAAGUCUCUGGUGAUAUCCUGUAGCUUAACUGUGGGAAUUGCUGGAGAUACUAUUAGACUUGAGACCGGGAGAGGUUAGAGGUACUCCCAGGGUAGAGGUGAAAUUCUGUAAUCCUGGGAGGACCGCCUGUUGCGAAGGCGUCUAACUGGAACGGUUCUGACGGUGAGGGACGAAAGUUAGGGGCGCGAACCGGAUUAGAUACCCGGGUAGUCCUAACUGUAAACGAUGCGGACUUGGUGUUGGGGUGGCUUUGAGCUGCUCCAGUGCCGAAGGGAAGCUGUUAAGUCCGCCGCCUGGGAAGUCGGCGUCACGACAGUAAGUAAAGUAAAGU
rnacentral:rRNA from 1 species